CGGGUGAGUAACGCGUGGUCAACCUUCCCUACAGUGGGGGAUAACUAGCCGAAAGGUUAGCUAAUACCGCAUGACAUCUUCGAGAGGCAUCUUUUGAAGAUAAAAGGAGCAAUCCGCUGAAGGACGGGACCGCGUCCCAUUAGCUAGUUGGUGGGGUAAUGGCCUACCAAGGCAACGAUGGGUAGCUGGUUUGAGAGAGCGACCAGCCACACUGGGACUGAGACACGGCCCAG
rnacentral:rRNA from 1 species